rnacentral:rRNA from 1 species
CUAAAGAUGGCGACCGGCGCACGGGUGAGUAACACGUAUCCAACCUGCCGAUAACUCGGGGAUAGCCUUUCGAAAGAAAGAUUAAUACCCGAUAGCAUAAUGAUUCCGCAUGGUUUCAUUAUUAAAGGAUUCCGGUAAAGGAUGGGGAUGCGUUCCAUUAGGUUGUUGGUGAGGUAACGGCUCACCAAGCCUUCGAUGGAUAGGGGUUCUGAGAGGAAGGUCCCCCACAUUGGAACUGAGACACGGUCCAA